GAUUUCUGGUAUGAUUUAUCUGUCCCGCAACGGUUAACGUUUGUGUGUGACGGUUUUAAAUCUGCCAUCCUUCUAGUGAAUAUAAUAUUAGCCUUUACUGGUUUGAUAUUAUACUUAAGCUAGAUCUUUUACUUUGAAAAAAUUAGAGUGUUUCAAGCAGGCGUUUUGCUAUGAAUACAUUAGCAUGGAAUAAUAUGAUAGGACUUCGGUUCUAUUUUGUUGGUUUCUAGAGCUGAAGUAAUGAUUGAUAGGGAUAGUUGGGGGUGCUAGUAUUCAGCGGCCAGAGGUGAAAUUCUUGGAUUCGCUGAAGACUAACUUAUGCGAAAGCAUU
rnacentral:rRNA from 1 species